rnacentral:rRNA from 1 species
AAGCGUUUAUGACCAGACUUUUUCUAGGCGGAUCAUCCGGUGUUCUCACCGGUGCACUUUGUCUAGUUUAGGCCAGCAUCGGUUUUCAUAGGGGGAUAAAAUCGGUGGGAAUGUGGCUCCCUCGGGAGUGUUAUAGCCCGCCGAAUAAUACCCUUACGGGGACCGAGGUUCGCGCUCUGCAAGGAUGCUGGCGUAAUGGUCAUCAAC